GGUGAAUGCUGGCGGCGUGGAUGAGGCAUGCAAGUCGAGUGGGUUUAGACCCACGGCAGACGAGGUAGGAACACGUAGGUACGUACCCCAAAGUCACGGAUAACCUGAAGAAAUUCAGAAUAAUACGUGAUAGUCUCUUCGGAGUAAAGAUUUAUCGCUUUGGGAACGGCCUGCGGGCUAUCAGCUUGUUGGUAUGGUAACGGCAUACCAAGGCUACGACGGCUAGGGGAGGUGAGAGCCUGACCCCCACCGAUGGAACUGAGACACGGUCCAUACUCCUACGGGAGGCCGCAGUCGAGAAUCUUCCGCAAUGGACGAAAGUCUGACGGAGCGACGCCGCGUGGUGGAUGAAGCCUUUAGGGGCGUAAACACCUUUUAUGAGGGAGGAAUUUUAUUGACGUUACCUCAUGAAUAAGGGGCUCCCAAUUCUG
rnacentral:rRNA from 1 species